UACUGGCUACACCAGAAAAUGACUAAAUGUUCUUAACACUUAACAACUACCACAAGCAUUACUUCUGGGUCACUCUGAAGGGUCUAAUCGUUCAAUUACUGAAUUGAUAAAGUUGAUGAAAUUGCUUAAAAGUUGUCUGGCACCUUCUUAACUCAGAGACAUAGGAAUGUGGAUGGAUUAUGACAUACCUUGCACAAAUCAACAACCAGGCUUUUAUUGGAUUUGAAUCCCAAAGGAAAGAGAAAGUUUGUUAUCCAAAACAAACAUGGAAAAUAUCAGAAACCAACAAAACACAAGCAGGCAGAGUGUUAUGGACCCAACUUUGGGGAAUCUCCUAAAACCAAGUAUAAAAAUAGAGAGGUGUGGUUGUGUCUCUCAGCUCCACAAGGGUCCACAAGAAUGAGGACAACAGUGAUUUUCGUAAUAAUUUUAGAUCAGAUUUUAAAAAAAAAAUUUGAUCAGAUGGAUCAGGUUAACAGUUUAAUACAUAUUGCAUUUAAGUGCUUAACGAAAAGAAAAGAUGCUCUUACCAAAAUAGUCUAAGAACAAUGCUGAUUUUAAAUUAAUAAAUUGUUUCCUUUUGUAAUAAUAUAAUAAUUUAAGUUGGCAUUGUAUGUAUGUUUAGUGUAGAUUUAAUGCCCUAAAUGAAAUAUACAAUUGACAUUUUUUUCUUUAAAGAAUUAGUUGCAAAUUUCUUUCAUUAUUAGUUUCACUGUACAAUCUGAAAAAAAGCUUGCAACAUUUGUAUUGACAAUACUUCUGCUGGUGAUAUUUAUUUCUAAUUAAUGAAGUAAAUUAAUAUAUAUUCAGUUUACUAUAAUUAAAUACCUCAUACUCGAGACAAAAAAACAUUUAUUGAAUAUCGCAGUGAUAUUCCUGUUCUACACAAUGCGUAUAAACCCUCGAACCAUCUGUCUUUUGAAAGAUUGUACAUUUUGUAUACACAAUGGCAUUCAUUUCAACACUAUUUAACCACAAUUAUAAUCUAGAGAUCCUGAACAUAUUUUCGUUCUGUUAUUUAUGGACAAGGCAGACUGGUCCAGCAUUAAAAUGUAAACCUUAAUUAUAAUACUUAA